GGAAGGAUCAUUACUAGAGCAAAGGACAGGCAGCGCCCCACAGAAGCUUGCUUCGUGGCGGGCUACCCUACUUCGGUAGGGUUUAGAGUCGUCGAACCCCUCGGAGAAGUUCGGUCCUGACCUCCACCCUUGAAUAAAAUUACCUUUGUUGCUUUGGCAGGCCGCCUCGUGCCAGCGGCUUCGGCUGUUGAGUGCCUGCCAGAGGACCACAACUCUUGUUUUUAGUGAUGUCUGAGUACUAUAUAAUAGUUAAAACUUUCAACAACGGAUCUCUUGGUUCUGGCAUCGAUGAAGAACGCAGCGAAAUGCGAUAAGUAAUGUGAAUUGCAGAAUUCAGUGAAUCAUCGAAUCUUUGAACGCACAUUGCGCCCUCUGGUAUUCCGGGGGGCAUGCCUGUUCGAGCGUCAUUAUAACCACUCAAGCUCUCGCUUGGUAUUGGGGUUCGCGGUCUCGCGGCCCCUAAAAUCAGUGGCGGUGCCUGUCGGCUCUACGCGUAGUAAUACUCCUCGCGAUUGAGUCCGGUAGGUCUACUUGCCAGCAACCCCCAAUUUUUACAGGUUGACCUCGGAUCAGGUAGGGAUACCCGCUGAACUUAAGCAUAUCAAUAAGCGGAGGAAAAGAAACCAACAGGGAUUACCUCAGUAACGGCGAGUGAAGCGGUAACAGCUCAAAUUUGAAAGCUAGCUCUUUUAGGGUUCGCAUUGUAAUUUGUAGAAGAUGCUUCGGGUGUGGCCCCGGUCUAAGUUCCUUGGAACAGGACGUCAUAGAGGGUGAGAAUCCCGUAUGUGACUGGGUGCUUUCGCUCAUGUGAAGCUCUUUCGACGAGUCGAGUUGUUUGGGAAUGCAGCUCAAAAUGGGUGGUAAAUUUCAUCUAAAGCUAAAUAUUGGCCAGAGACCGAUAGCGCACAAGUAGAGUGAUCGAAAGAUGAAAAGCACUUUGGAAAGAGAGUUAAACAGUACGUGAAAUUGUUGAAAGGGAAGCGCUUGCAACCAGACUUGCGCGCUGAUGAUCAUCCGGGCUUCUGCCCGGUGCACUCGUCUGCGCUCAGGCCAGCAUCGGUUUUGGUGGUGGGAUAAAGGCCUUGGGAAUGUAGCUCCUCUCGGGGAGUGUUAUAGCCCUCGGUGCAAUGCCGCCUACCGGGACCGAGGACCGCGCUUCGGCUAGGAUGCUGGCGUAAUGGUUGUAAGCGACCCGUCUUGAAACACGGACCAAGGAGUCUAACAUCUAUGCGAGUGUUUGGGUGUCAAACCCAUACGCGUAAUGAAAGUGAACGGAGGUGAGAACCCUUAAGGGUGCAUCAUCGACCGAUCCUGAUGUCUUCGGAUGGAUUUGAGUAAGAGCAUAGCUGUUGGGACCCGAAAGAUGGUGAACUAUGCGUGAAUAGGGUGAAGCCAGAGGAAACUCUGGUGGAGGCUCGCAGCGGUUCUGACGUGCAAAUCGAUCGUCAAAUUUGCGUAUAGGGGCGAAAGACUAAUCGAACCAUUGGGAAUAACUACUAGGUGGUUGAGAGGCUGCUGAGAGGCACGCCUAGUCCUGUGCGCAGGGCAACACUAUCAAAUUGUUCGGGGACGUCCUGUCAAAUCUCAAGCUACCGCAGCUGGCCCGAAAGGGCGGCGCGCACCGGGUUAACGACCCCGGGGAUGGUAAGAACGCUUGGGUAGGGAUUAUCCGCAGCCAACCUCUAAGGGGCGUCAGCCCUACGAGAUCGGUCCACAGACUUAACGAUAGUGGGCUCUCCGGAGCUUAAGAUAAAGUCGAACCCCCGGGAGACCGGGUGGGCUACAGCUAGUAGCUGGUUCCUGC
rnacentral:misc_RNA from 1 species